UACGAAGGGGGCUAGCGUUGUUCGGAAUUACUGGGCGUAAAGGGCUCGUAGGCGGCCAACUAAGUCAUACGUGAAAUCCCUCGGCUUAACCGGGGGAACUGCGUCUGAUACUGGAUGGCUUGAGUUCGGGAGAGGGAUGCGGAAUUCCAGGUGUAGCGGUGAAAUGCGUAGAUAUCUGGAGGAACACCGGUGGCGAAGGCGGCAUCCUGGACCGAUACUGACGCUGAGGAGCGAAAGCCAGGGGAGCAAACGGG
rnacentral:rRNA from 1 species